UGGGCUUCUUUUUCUAUUGCCGGUGUUCAAGGAAGGCCGCUGGCUUGGAGUGAAAGCCUAGGCGCCGUAUCCGUCUGGCCGGGGACCUCCUCCUUGCAGGUGCAGCUCGAGAGCACGCUCAACAGCCAGAGCAUGUACCAGCCCAGCUGCGUCGGGGUGUGAGCGCCCAGUCUUGUGUCUCAUCAUUGGAGCAGCAGUGUGAUUUUAUUUUUCUGAAAUCAGCUCUUUGGAUUUGUCUUUGUGUGCAUCCACUAUUUGUUUCCUUUCUACAUUCGUCCACUCAACUCAACCUCAAAAUUUAUUUUUGUUACAGGUUUUAAUCACUCAUUUGAGGGUUCAGUAAGCUGGUGUAAUCUCGUGAAAGCAACUGGCAGAAAAUUAGUAUGUGAAGGCAUCAUGAAAUGAAGAAAGAGCUAGACUAGGGAAAUUGCAACGUUGAUGUAUCAUCAAAUGAUAAUCUGAAGUUUCUUGAAUUGUUACUCAUUUUUCUCUCUUCGAGUUCCAUUUACACCAAUAUCAUCACAGAAAAGUUGCCAUAGACUUUUUACAGGGCAACAAAAAUGAAUGGGUCCCCGGGUUGCAAGGGAAAUUCAUAGUUCUGACAUUAUCUUGUGAUGGUGCGGGUUUAUUGUACCCUCUGAAAUUCCUCCAUACUGGUGAACUUGGAAAUUUCCCACACCAGAAUAUCUCUUUGAAGGUUGGUGUCCCUAUAAUGUUGUUGAAUAAAACAAUCAAUGGACAGGGUUGUGCAACAGAACUUGGCUCAUUGUUAAAAGGUUAAGGCCAGACAUUGGAUAUGGAAAGUGUUUAUUUAUCAAAGCAUGUAUUUUCUCAUGAAAAGUCCCAAGAGUCACAAUGGAUAAAAAGACUGUAAAUACUUGCAAUAGACGACAAUGGUAUAGCAGCUACUGAAACUACAACUAUCUUCUACUAGGAGCAAACACCGGAAUCUCACCUUCAGAUUAUAGUUGUUCUGAAAGGGAGAAGGAAAGAAGUAUCCUAACUGAUGAAACAGACAUUCUGCAACGAGACCUCCAUUUUGUCAGCACCUGCCAUCGAGAAAACCAUUUCAAGUGUUAUUUGUCUACUCAGCCUUGUAGUGAGUAUGGAACAUAAGUAUCCAUGCAAUUGUACCAAAAAUAUUAUCCACCCGCUGUUGUAAGAAGUACGGACACUACCGAUGUACCGUGGCAUCAAGUAUCUAAGGAUCCGUGCAUAAUUAUUGUAACAACCGUUUUAGCUUAUUAUGUGUA